ACACGCAUGACACACUGCAUAUCAAUAAGCGGAGGAAAAGAAACUAACAAGGAUUCCCUUAGUAACGGCGAGUGAAGCGGGAAGAGCUCAAAUUUGAAAUCUUCAAGGUUCUACCUUGACGAAUUGUAGUUUAUAGAAGUGUUUUCUGUUAGUGGAGUGGCAAAAGUUCUUUGGAAUAGGACAUCAUAGAGGGUGAGAAUCCCGUAUUUGGUCAUUCCUCCUAGCGUUGUGAUACACUUUCAACGAGUCGGAUUGUUUGGGAAUGCAGUCCAAAAUGGGUGGUAAAUUUCAUCUAAAGCUAAAUAUUGGCGAGAGACCGAUAGCGAACAAGUACCGUGAGGGAAAGAUGAAAAGAACUUUGAAAAGAGAGUUAAACAGUACGUGAAAUUGUCAAAAGGGAAGCGUUUGACACCAGUGUUGUUUAGUUGAAAAUCAAUUCAAUAAUUUUUGAUUUUGAGUAGUAUUGACUUCAUCAGCUUGCUGCUUUCUUUUCGGAAAUUAUUGAAUGCACUUUUCAGUUAACAAGUCAACAUCAAUUUCUUUUGUUGUAAAAGGGUAAGAGGAAGGUGGCUUACGCUUCGGCGUAAGUGUUUAUAGCCUUUUACCUCUGCAAUCGGAGAGAUUGAGGACAGCAGCGUAGACUCUUCGGGGUUAGAUACACUUGUGCUAAGCUAUAGCCUUGUAUAAACAACUUGUUGACUAUGCUCAGUCAUGUAGCUUACUCGCUUGUGCUAUUUUACCUACGCUUAGGAUGUUGAACUACUGAGACAUAGA
rnacentral:rRNA from 1 species